rnacentral:rRNA from 1 species
AGCGGAGGAAAAGAAA